rnacentral:lncRNA from 1 species
GCCAAGAGCGAAACAUGGCGGAGGAGAGGCCGGGCGACGGGGAGGAGCUGGAGCGCCUGAGCAGGCCUUUCCACCACCUGGCACCUUCUCUGCAGUCAUGGCCUGUUUCCCACUCAAGAGAGGAGGUGCCAUGACGGCAGGGGUCUGGAGGGCUUUGCUGACCGCUGUGUCCCCAGCAACCAGCAUGCUGCCAGCAUGUAGUUAAGUGCUCAAUAAACAGAUGUUUAAUGAAUGAGUAAGUUGCUUGGGCUCUGGGCGUGAAAAUGCCAAGUUUGGGCUGCCCCGUAGCCUCGUCUCUGGGAUUUGACUCCAGAUCUGUUUUUUAGGAACCCCACCCUAGAGAUGGUUAUGCCCUCCGGAAUCCGAGACCCCCUUCCUCGAACUGUGUAGUUCUAUCCUCAGCUUCUUUCAAUGAAGGAACCUUCACACAAUCCGACUUCGUUUUCC